AUAGCGUAUAUUAAAGUUGUUGCAGUUAAAAAGCUCGUAGUUGAACUUCGAACGUGGCUGGGCGGUCCGCCUCACGGUGUGUACUGUCUGGCUGUGUUCUCUUUCUUGGUGAGCCGGCAUGCCCUUCACUGGGUGUGUUGGGGAACCAGGACGUUUACCUUGAGAAAAUUAGAGUGUUCAAAGCAGGCCUACGCCCGAAUACAUUAGCAUGGCAUAAUAAAAUAGGACGUGUGGUUCUAUUUUGUUGGUUUCUAGAGCCGCAGUAAUGAUUAAUAGGGAUAGUUGGGGGCAUUAGUAUUGCGUUGCUAGAGGUGAAAUUCUUGGAUUUACGCAAGACUAACUUCUG
rnacentral:rRNA from 1 species